rnacentral:rRNA from 1 species
GACGAACGCUGGCGGCGUGCUUAACACAUGCAAGUCGAACGAAGAGAGAUGGAAGCUUGCUUCUAUCAAUCUUAGUGGCGAACGGGUGAGUAACGCGUAAUCAACCUGCCCUUCAGAGGGGGACAACAGUUGGAAACGACUGCUAAUACCGCAUACGAUCUAAUCUCGGCAUCGAGGAUAGAUGAAAGGUGGCCUCUACAUGUAAGCUACCACUGAAGGAGGGGAUUGCGUCUGAUUAGCUAGUUGGAGGGGUAACGGCCCACCAAGGCGGUGAUCAGUAGCCGGUCUGAGAGGAUGAACGGCCACAUUGGGACUGAGACACGGCCCAGACUCCUACGGGAGGCAGCAGUGGGGAAUCUUCCGCAAUGGACGAAAGUCUGACGGAGCAACGCCGCGUGAGUGAUGACGGCCUUCGGGUUGUAAAGCUCUGUUAAUCGGGACGAAAGGCCUUCUUGCGAAUAAGUGAGAAAGGA